UGCAGAUAAGCGCGGGAGUACGUAGAGGCCGCUCGUACAGAGUGGCAGCCCGAAAGGGUGGGACCCUCGGUUCCCGGGAUCUGCACUUUU
rnacentral:ncRNA from 1 species